GACACAGUUCUAUAAAUAUUAAAAACUACCAAAUCAUUUUUGGGAUUAAUUUGCCAACCAAUGGAAAAACGAUUAUGAGGUUUUUCGCCCUAGCUCCGUCAGCGAUCAUCUUGGAUAUAAAAAAACACUCUUCGUUCUAAGUUAGAGACCUUCUCUCAAGUAUCUAGAGCUCCUCCUGCUGUUUCUUACAUGGCUACGUACGUACUUAGCUUGGUUAGAGGUUUUCCAACCUUAAUCUUGUUUAUGCUUAGGUAUAUAAGUAGGUAAAAGGUCUCUACUCUUUUUGUUUCAAGCUUUCUACUUAGUUUGUAACCAUUCGAAAAUAAUAAUAAUAAUUAAUUAACGUA